GACGCCGGGGCCAGUAACCCACAGCCGAGCUUCCUGUCGCUUCUCCCGGGGCGUGAAGCAAGCCUUCUUCCCUCCUGCCCCUGGCAGCGGAGCGCGGGGUGGUGCCACGCCCAGCCCCGCCCCCUGGUUGCCGGGACAACGCCCGCACGCGCCCGGCCCCUAGUCCCAGCGCGGGGAGGGUACUAGCGCAGCUUGUCCGUCAGGCCUCGGGCCAUGGCCUCGCUACGCAAUGCCAACCCGAGGCUGAAGAACUACUUCAAGGAGAACUACAUUCCUCAGGUCUGCGAGGCACUGUUAUGUGGUAUACUUGUUACAUGUCCUGAGGAUCCGCUGAGGUAUUUAGAGGGAAUGAUCAUGGUUAUAAUCAAAAGUGGUCUUCAGAAUCUUCUUUGGGAUAUGUGCAUUGCUCCAUCAAUGAAACCAAACAUUCGAAGAUUGUCUGAAACUUACCUGGAACAACUUUUUGAAUUGGAUGAUCAGCUGAUGGCUCCGGAAUUGAUGAUAAAAGCCUGUAGCUUUUAUACUGGACAUUUAGUAAAGACUCAUUUUUGCACUUGGAGAGACAUAGCUCGUACAAAUGAAAAUGUCGUCCUGGCUGAAAAAAUGAACAGAGCAAUGACAUGUUACAAUUUCAGACUUCAAAAAUCUGUAUUUCAUCACUGGCACUCUUAUAUGGAAGACCAGAAAGAAAAACUUAAAAAUAUGCUAUUGCGGAUACAACAGAUCAUCUAUUGUCACAAGCUAACCAUUAUCCUAACAAAAUGGCGGAAAACAGCAAGACAUAAGAGUAAAAAGAAAGAAGAUGAGCUGAUAUUAAAACAUGAACUUCAGUUGAAAAAAUGGAAAAAUAGAUUAAUACUCAAAAGAGCUGCUGCAGAAGAAUCCAAUUUUCCUGAACAAAGUUAUUCUGAAGUCUCUCUUGUAGAUGAGACUCUAAAAUGUGACAUUUCACUGUUACCUGAAAGAGCAAUAUUACAGAUUUUCUUCUACCUCAGUUUAAAAGAUGUGAUAAUAUGUGGUCAAGUUAAUCAUGCCUGGAUGUUGAUGACACAGCUAAACUCACUGUGGAAUGAUAUUGAUUUUUCCACAGUGAAAAACGUGAUUCCAGAUAAAUAUAUAGUGUCUACUUUGCAAAGGUGGCGUUUAAAUGUGCUGCGUUUGAAUUUUUGUGGUUGUCUUCUCCGACCCAAAACUUUCAGAUCUGUCAGCCACUGUAGGAACUUGCAAGAGUUGAAUGUCUCUGACUGCCCAACAUUCACAGAUGAAUCAAUGAGACACAUUUCUGAGGGCUGCCUGGGGGUCCUGUAUCUCAAUCUGUCUAACACAACUAUCACCAACAGGACGAUGCGACUCCUGCCGAGGCACUUCCACAACUUACAGAAUCUUAGUUUGGCUUAUUGCAGACGGUUCACAGACAAAGGCUUACAGUACCUGAACUUGGGGAAUGGAUGCCACAAGCUCAUCUAUCUGGACCUCUCCGGCUGCACCCAGAUUUCAGUCCAAGGCUUCAGGUACAUUGCAAACAGCUGCACUGGAAUUAUGCAUCUUACCAUUAAUGACAUGCCAACUCUGACGGACAACUGUGUGAAAGCUUUAGUUGAAAAAUGCUCUCGUAUUACAUCGCUGGUUUUCACUGGUGCACCGCAUAUCUCCGAUUGUACUUUCAAAGCUCUUUCUACUUGUAAACUCGGAAAGAUCCGAUUCGAAGGAAAUAGAAGGGUUACUGAUGCAUCCUUCAAAUUUAUAGACAAGAAUUAUCCAAAUCUCAGUCACAUUUAUAUGGCUGACUGCAAGAGAAUAACAGACAGCAGCCUCAGAUCCCUUUCACCUUUGAAGCAACUGACUGUGUUGAAUUUGGCAAAUUGUGUAAGAAUUGGUGAUAUGGGACUAAAGCAAUUUCUUGAUGGUCCUGCAAGCAUAAGGAUAAGAGAGCUAAAUUUAAGCAACUGUGUGCAGCUAAGUGAUGCCUCUGUUAUGAAACUAUCUGAGCGCUGCCCUAAUUUAAACUACUUGAGUUUACGAAAUUGUGAACAUUUGACUGCCCAAGGAAUUGGAUAUAUUGUAAACAUCUUUUCCUUGGUAUCAAUAGAUCUCUCUGGAACAGACAUCUCUAAUGAGGGUUUGAAUGUGCUUUCCAGACAUAAAAAAUUGAAGGAACUUUCUGUAUCUGAAUGUUAUAGAAUCACUGAUGAUGGAAUUCAGGCAUUCUGCAAAAGCUCACUGAUCUUGGAACAUUUGGAUGUCUCUUAUUGCUCCCAGCUGUCAGAUAUGAUUAUCAAAGCACUGGCCAUUUACUGCAUUAACCUCACAUCUCUCAGCAUUGCUGGCUGUCCAAAGAUUACUGACUCAGCGAUGGAGACGUUAUCGGCAAAAUGCCAUUACCUGCACAUUUUGGAUAUCUCUGGUUGUGUCUUGCUUACUGACCAAAUCCUUGAGGACCUUCAGAUAGGCUGCAAACAACUUCGGAUCCUUAAGAUGCAAUACUGCACAAAUAUUUCCAAGAAGGCAGCUCAAAGAAUGUCAUCUAAAGUUCAGCAGCAGGAAUACAACUCUAAUGACCCUCCACGUUGGUUUGGCUAUGAUAGGGAAGGAAACCCUGUUACAGAGCUUGACAACAUAACAUCAUCUAAAGGAGCCUUAGAAUUAACAGUGGAAAAGUCAACAUACAACAGUGAAGACCAAGCAGCGUGACCUUCAGCCUCAAGCGGGAAGAACAAAAAAUCAAGAACUUGGCAAGCUUCCUCCAUUUGUUGCAAAGUGUAUAUCUUCUGCUUAUUAAAAAAAAAAAAGUUAUGAUACAACAGCCUCAGGCAGGUCCUUCAGGAAGUAUUCCAGAAGAAGGCAUCAUCAUCACAGGAGAUGACAGCUCCACAUGUGUUAUUGCCCCUGAAGGCCUUUCAGUGGGAAAAGAUGUGGAGGUGAAAGUGAUAUUGACGUUCUUGACCCAGUAAAGGCCUAGACUAAUGUGUGUAUUUGUGUCUUCAUUUUUAACAAAAUUUAAAAAGUAAAAUAAAAAAAAAUUAAUUAUUUUAAAAACAGAAAAAAGCUUACAGAAUAAAGAUAGACAAGUAUAUCUCUACAGCUGUAAAAUGUGUUUGUGUUUCAAGCUAAGUAUUAUUACAAAAGAGUCAAAAAGUUUUUUAUUUUAUUUUUUUCUGAGAGGGAGUCUCGCUCUGUUGCUCAGGCUGGAGUGCAGUGGCGCGAUCUUGGCUCAUUGCACCCUCUGCCUCCUGGGUUCAAGGGAUUCUUUUUCCUCGGCCUCCCGAGUAGCUGAGAUUACAGGUGCCCGCCACCACGCCUGGCUAAUUUUUGUAUUUUAGUAGAGACAGGGGUUUCACCAUGUUGGUCAGGCUGGUCUCGAACUCCUGACCUCAAACGAUCUGCCCGCCUCGGCCUCCCAAAGUGCUGGGAUUACAGGCGUAAGCCACCACGCCCAGCCUCAAAAAAUUUUUAAAAAUGUAAGUUUAUGAAGUAAAAAUGUUCUUUGGGAAGUUGAGGCGGGAGGAUCACUUAAGGCCAGGAGCUGAAGACAAGCCUGGGAAACAUAGCAAGGCCUUGUCUCUACUAAAAACUUUUUAAAAAUUAGCUGGCCGUGGUAGUACACACCUGUAAUCCUAGCUACUAGGGAGGCAGAGGCAGAAGGAUCACUUGAGCCCAGAGUUUGAGUUUAUAGUGAGCUAUAAUUGCACUCCAGUCUAUACAACAGAGAAAGCAGCUAUCUCUAGAAUAAAUAAAGUAAAAAAGUUACAGUAAACUAAGGCUAAUUUAUUAUUGAAGAAACUUAAAAAUAAAUUUAGUGUAGCCUAACCAUACAGUGUUUAUAAAGUCUAUAGUAGUAAAGUCCUAGGCCUUCACAUGCACUCACCACUCAUCAUACCGACUCACUCAGAGCAACUUCCAGUCCUGCAAGCUCCAUUUAUGUUAAGUGCCCUAUACAGGCGUACCAUGUUUUAUCUUUUAUACCAUAUUUUUACUGUACCUUUUCUAUAUAUAGAUAUACAAAUACCAUUGUGUUACAAUUGCCUACAGUUUUCAGUAUAGUAGCCUGCUGUACAGGGUGUAGCCUAGGAACAAUAGGCUACUACACAGCCUCGGUGUGUAGUAGGCUGUACCAUCUAGGUUUGUAUCAGUUCACUCUAUAAUGUUCACGUGACAACAAAAUUGCCUAGUAACACAUUUCUCAGAAUGUAUCUCUGUCAUUAAGUGACGUAUGACUGUACUUAGAUUUUCAUCAAAUUUUCGCCACAUAACUAUGAGUCUGCCCAUUAGGCGGCAUGCAGUUAUAUCGGGGAGUGUAUAGGUAUUAUUUUUAUUCCUGUUAUGUUUUUUAUUAAUAUUCUAUGAAUUUUAACAGACAACUUUCUUAAUUUUCAUGACAUAUAAAAUUAAUACUUAAAACUGAAAUUUGAUCUUAUGAAGACCACCCUCCCCUACUCCCCAAUUCUUCCUUUUUCUAGUUGGCAUCUCAUGGGUUUAGCUUGUAGCAUUCAUCCCUAUACAUGGUCUAAUUGCAAUGUCCUCCUUGAUGCUAUUCUGGUAAAAUUUAAAGGAAAACUUCACCAGCAUUAAUUUUUUUAUUCAUUAAAACAACAAACCUCGGCCAGGCACAGUGCUCAUGCCUGUAAUCCCAGCACUUUGGGAGGCCAAGGUGGGCUGAUCACCUGAGGUCAGGAAUUUGAGAUCAGCCUGGCCAACAUGGCGAAACCCUGUCUCUGUUAAAAAUACAAAAAAAAAUUAG